ACGUGUAGUAACUUAUGCUUCUGGUCUUCCAUUGGCUUUAAAAGUAAUAGGUUCCAACUUGUAUAGCAAAAGUGUAGAAGAAUGGGAGUCUGCGAUUGAACAUUACAAAAUAAUUCCAAACGGUGAAAUUCUAGAGAUACUUAAAAGUAAGCUAUGUUGCUUUGGGGGAAGAAGAAAAAAGCGUCUUUCUUGACAUCGCCUGUUUCUUUAAUGAAAGUAGUUUGGAAGAAGUUGAAAAGAUACUUGGUGCUCUUUAUGAUAAGAACAUGAAACAUCAUAUUGGGGUGUUGGUGGAUAAAUCUCUCAUAGGUUUUUGGACGGAUAGAGAAGAUUAUAUUGAUAUGCACGACUUGAUUGAGGACAUGGGUAGACAUAUUGAAUGGCAAAAGUCACCCGAAGAGCCAGGGAAGCGCAGGAGAUUAUGGUUAGAGAAAGAUAUCCUUCAUGUUUUAAAACACGACAAGGGUACUAGCAAAACUGAAAUCAUAAUCCUGGAUUUGGAUUUGUCUAUAUAUGAGCGAGAAAAAACGCUAGAAUGGAAUCCCAACGCCUUCAGAAGAAUGAAAAACCUUAAAAUACUUAUCAUUAGAGAUGGUAAAUUUUCCAAAGGUCCCAAUUAUUUUCCAGAAAGUUUGAGAGUACUGGAAUGGCAUGGAUACCCUUCAAAUUCUUUACCAUCAAAUUUUGAUCCGAGCAAUCUUGUGACAUGCAAGCUACCUUACAGUCAUUUUACGUCAUUUGAAUUCCUUGACUCAUCAAAGAAGUUCGAGAAUCUAUCCGUCUUGAGUUUUGACUCGUGCAAAUUUUUGACACAGAUACCAGAUAUGUCUGAUUUCGUAAAUUUGGAGGAAGUUUCAUUUAACAGGCGGAAGAUGUUGGGAAUCCAAGUGUGAGUUUAAGUCCCACAUUGGAGAGAAAUGAGAAAGUAGAGUGGUUUAUAAGUGGGAAGACACAUUAACUCAUUGCCUUAAGGUUUUGGGUGUAGAGUGGUGUCAACUACUUAUAAGGUUGGACUCACAUCUCAUUGCUCAUUGACUUCCCGGUCAAAAACCUCCCCCUUGAUACUCCUAACAGAAGAUUGCAUCAAGCUUACGAAUUUUCCACCUCUCAACUUGCCCACUCUUGAAAGCCUAAAACUUUCGUUUUGUUCCAGUCUUGAGAAAUUUCCAGAAAUACUAGGAAAGAUGGAAAACAUAAAGAGACUUGGAUUGGCGGGUCUUCCCAUUAAAGAAUUGCCACUGUCGUUUCAAAAUCUUAUUGGGACUCGAAGAGUUAUUCUUGUCAUCAUGUGAAAUUGUUCACUUGCCUAACUUGUCUACUUUGAGUGUUACUGAAGAUAACGUAGGCUCAAUGGUUCCUUCAAAGUUAGAGUGUUUUUCAGCACUCUCUUGCAACCUGGAUGAUAACUUCUUUUCGGCAGGUUUCAUGCAGUUGGCACAAGUGCGUUCUUUAAUUCUACGGAACAAUAAUUUCAAACACCUUCCUGAAUGCAUCAAAGAAUUUCACAACCUCAACGAGCUUGAUGUGACUGAUUGCAAACAUCUUGAGGAAAUAAGAGGGUUUCCACCAAAAUUAGAAUAUUUCAAUGCAACAAACUGUAUAUCUUUGACUUCCACCAGCUUAGACAUGUUGCUAAAUAAGGAACUAUACUACGAAGGUAGAAAAAUUAUGUUCCAGUUUCCAGGAGCAAGGUUUCCAGAGUGGUUUGAUCUCAAGAGCAGUGGGCCUUCAUGUUCUUUCUGGUUUCGUAAUAAGUUUCCUGCCAGAGUUCUUUCUCUUCUUAUUAUACAUAUGAAUAAAAAUGAUGAGUUUCUUACCUUUUACCCUCAAGUGUACAUUAAUGGGAAAUAUCAAACAUUGGGAGGCAAAUCUGGGAACGAGCAGACGAAAUUUGAAUUCGAUCUAACAUACCUCUCUGAUCUAAAAAUGUAUGGUAAUUUCCAUGAACAACCUUCAGAAAAGGAAUGGAAUCACGUGAAGGUUACAUAUUAUGCGCAAAAUGUCAAAGCAACAGGAAUCCAUGUAUUCGAGGAAAACAAGGAAGACAUUCGGUUUGAUGAUCCUUAUAUCAUGGAAGACAUCAUGGAAGAAGAACAAAAGGAGGAAGAAAAGGAAGAAGUAGAAGAAGAAGAGGAAGAAAAAAAAGAAAAGGCAGAAGAAGAAGAAAAUAGCAUCAUGGAAGACACCAUGGAAGAAGAAGGAAGAAGAGGAAAAAGAAGAAAACUGCAUUAGGAAUCCUUGUAUUCAAAGAGGAAAACAGCAUCAUGGAAGACAUUCGGUUUGAUGAUCCUUAUACCAACAGCAAAUAAGACAGAUUUUUUUCUUUUUCUUUGUGCUUUUGUUUUUUACUUUAUUUACUAGUAUAGCAAAAGUGUAGAAGAAUGGGUGGGAUAUUUCCAUUUUUAAUAUCUAUAUAUAUAUAUAUAUAUAUAUAUAUAUAGAUAUAUAUAUAUAGCCUAACCAUCAUUUAAUAAUGAUUUCUUUGAUGGUCACAAAUUCAACUUGUUCCAUCUUCAGCUUGAUCAUCUAUCUCGUGAUUUUAGGCAUUUUCAACCUUUCAAGUUUUUAUAUAAAGAGUUGUUUUUCUAAUUUCUAAAUUAUUUAUUAUAAUACCAACAUUAUUAUUAUGAGUAAAAAAAUAUGUAACUAAUACACAUCUUAAAUACACUAAAACUCACAAAGUUAUGCUUUCACUGGUUAUCUCUACAAUGCUCUCUGUGACAGGGACCUUCACACUUUCAUGGAUGAUGAUGAACUUCAAAGAGGAGAGGAAAUCACACCAGCGCUUCUGAAAGCAUCCUUCACUGCCGGAGUAAAGGGCUGUUGAUUAUACCAGUGUUUUAUAAGGUGGAUCCUUCUUAUGUCAGACAUCAUAAAGGUAGCUAUGCAGAAGCAUUGGCUAAGCAUGAAAAGAGGUUCAAAGAGCAGAAGGAGAAGUUACAAAAAUGGAAGAUGGCUCUGCGUGAAGUUGCUGACUUGUCUGACUAUCACUUCGGAGAUGGGUACCCAGCUUACCAAUCUUUUUAUUUGAUUGAAAAUUAGUAUAAGUAUCAAGACAUGGUUUUCUAGUUUAGCUUAGUUAAACUUUAAGGUUUGGAACAGGGAUGAAUACCAGUACAAGUUUAUUGGGAGCAUUGUUGAACGGGUUUCCACGGUGAUUAAUCGUGCUCCUUUACAUGUUGCGGAUUACCCAGUUUGAUUAUAUGUUGCGGUAAAUUGAAUAAUCUGAACAAGUGGAUUUGAUCUUGUUUAGACGUUAGAUAUGUAGUUAUGAUUGGAAAUGGAUCUUAAAAGUAUAAUUAGAAAUAUUGGAAGACUGGUCUGGAUUGAUGAUUUCAGUAAUUUGGGUUCAUGAGUAAAUAUUGGUUGUGAAUGAAUAAAGGGGAAAAACAUAGGUAUGGUUAGAAAGGGUUGGGCAAGGUCUUAUUGGAGUUUUUAUAAACGUGAAUUUAAGUCAUAUGCUCAGACUUUUGUAGUAGUGAAUGAUAUGAACUGCUUGGCAACUUUUCAGAAAUGAUUAAUUAAGUACAUAAGUUGUGAUGUGUGUAAA